rnacentral:tRNA from 1 species
GCCUGGCUGGCUCAGUCAGAGGAGGGCGGGACUCUUGAUCUCGGGGUCGUGAGUUCGAGCCCCACGUUGGGUG